GACGAACGCUGGCGGCGUGCUUAACACAUGCAAGUCGAACGCUGAAGCUUGGUGCUUGCACUGGGUGGAUGAGUGGCGAACGGGUGAGUAAUACGUGAGUAACCUGCCCUUGACUCUGGGAUAAGCCUGGGAAACUGGGUCUAAUACUGGAUACGACAUGCCACUGCAUGGUGGUGUGUGGAAAGGGUUUUACUGGUUUUGGAUGGGCUCACGGCCUAUCAGCUUGUUGGUUGGGUAAUGGCCUACCAAGGCGACGACGGGUAGCCGGCCUGAGAGGGUGACCGGCCACACUGGGACUGAGACACGGCCCAGAGUCCUACGGGAGGCAGCAGUGGGGAAUAUUGCACAAUGGGCGGAAGCCUGAUGCAGCGACGCCGCGUGAGGGAUGACGGCCUUCGGGUUGUAAACCUCUUUCAGCACGGAAGAAGCGAGAGUGACGGUACGUGCAGAAGAAGCGCCGGCUAACUACGUG
rnacentral:rRNA from 1 species